UAGGGAAUCUUCGGCAAUGGGGGGAACCCUGACCGAGCAACGCCGCGUGAGUGAAGAAGGUUUUCGGAUCGUAAAGCUCUGUUGUUAAGGAAGAACGAGUGUGAGAAUGGAAAGUUCAUGCUGUGACGGUACUUAACCAGAAAGGGACGGCUAACUACGUGCCAGCAGCCGCGGUAAUACGUAGGUCCCGAGCGUUGUCCGGAUUUAUUGGGCGUAAAGCGAGCGCAGGCGGUUAGGAAAGUCUGAAGUGAAAGGCAGUGGCUCAACCAUUGUAGGCUUUGGAAACUGUUUAACUUGAGUGCAGAAGGGGAGAGUGGAAUUCCAUGUGUAGCGGUGAAAUGCGUAGAUAUAUGGAGGAACACCGGUGGCGAAAGCGGCUCUCUGGUCUGUAACUGACGCUGAGGCUCGAAAGCGUGGGGAGCGAACAGG
rnacentral:rRNA from 1 species